ensembl:lincRNA
UUUAAAAAGUCUGGAGAUGUCACCUAGUAACUACGAGUCACAUACCAUUUUGCAUAGGGAAAGAACGGAAGCAAGCUACCGCUACAGAAGCAACUCCGUGAGGCCCCGGAGGAGAACCACAAUGGGCUGGGACAGUCAUGGCAGACUCUGCUGCUGGCAGCUGUGAAGGGCUGAGAUGGAGCCCUCCCGGUGGUGGGCAGUGGGCGCAACCCUGACCUGCAUCCUCAGCAUGGUGGGAAUGGAAGGAAGAGAGCCUACAUUAACCAACAGAGCGACAGUAUGGAUAGCCUUGGGUAGAUUCGACUGGAUCCUGGAAGUUUCAGUCUUCUUAAAAGUACACAUUUUAAUGAUGAUUCUCCUUGUAUCCUUUCUACCUAUUUGAUUUCUUUUUUCCUGCCUCAGAUGGAGCCCAAGAACCCAGGAGAUUGUGGAGAAUGAGGACAAAACAGUAAUCCUUGUUCAUUAUCCCCAAAAGGGACUGUUUCAGUGGCAUAGUAAGGGGCUUACUGAGCAAAUGAGGCAAGAUGGCAUUCAUGACUUUCUGGGCUGAGGUCAGGGUGGAUGGACAGCAUAGCAGAGGGCUUGGGAGCCAGGGAGGCCUGGGUUCAAGGCUCAGUAUGGACCGUUUCUAGUUGCAUGCUUUGGCUGAAGUCCUCGUCUCUCUAGGUGACAGUUUCCUUGACUGUGAAAUGCGGAUGUCAGCAGGGUUUCCCCAGGUGAGGGCUAGGUGAAGGGUAUUGGAAGCAAGGUAUUGGAGGCUUAGGAGCCAGAACAAUGAAGAAAGCAGCUAUGGGGACGGAGACACGCAGGCAGCAGUAAGACUCCAACAGAAGCCAAAAUAACUGGCUAAGGGAGCAAAAAGGAGAAGAGUACAGCAACCAAGCAUGGCAUCACUGUCCUACCAGCUUGACUCAGACCCCAAAUCUGUCUGACCUCGAGGUGACACAGGCUUUUCACUGUGCCCUGAUCCCUGUUCUCUGACUCUCACAUGGACGCAUUUUUUUAGACCACGUACAUGGCUAUUUUGCUAAAGAUAAUCAAUUCCUUGCUUCCUUUGUCGGUGGACGUGGACGUGUGACCAAGUUCCAGCAGAUGGGAUGUGAGAAAAAAACAAUAGUACAGACAAGUUCUAGGUCAUGCCCUAAAAAGCAAAGAAUGUGUUUUUCUAUUUAUUUUUUUAUUGCUCCCAUUCCCGGUGGCUGGAAUCUAGAUAUGAUGGCUGGAACUGAUUCAGCUAACUUGGGCUAUGCAGCAAAAGCAGAGGGUUGAGGAUUAUGUAACAAAAAGACAAAAACUGACCACAUCUGCUACCUUGUUGAGGUUCCCCACUUUCCCCAGACAGCUCAUAUUUAGUCUAUUAGACAAAAGAGAACUAGAUUUUUUUUUUUUAUUGUUUAAGUCACUGGCAUUUUGGUUCAUUCAGUUAUUGUAACUGUACUUGCAUCCUAAAAAAUAAGAAACUCAUGCACAUUUAUACCUCGGGAUAAAUACUUCAUAGAGCUGUGAGAAUGAAGCCCUAUCUAAUACAUCAAGAUCAUUGAACUCAGUAUAUAACAUGACAUAAAUAUCGAGCCACUGUUUUCUGGAUAUAUGAGCAGUAUAGUCAGUCAGAGUACACUGUUGAUUGAGAAUUGCCCAGGUAGCUAUGGCCAGGGGC